CGAGUUGGCUUAGGGAUACGUUCGUUGGGUAGGGGAGCGUUCUGUAAGCCUGUGAAGGUGUGUCGUGAGGCAUGCUGGAGGUAUCAGAAGUGCGAAUGCUGACAUAAGUAACGAUAAAGCGGGUGAAAAGCCCGCUCGCCGGAAGACCAAGGGUUCCUGUCCAACGUUAAUCGGGGCAGGGUGAGUCGACCCCUAAGGCGAGGCCGAAAGGCGUAGUCGAUGGGAAACGGGUUAAUAUUCCCGUACUUGGUGUUACUGCGAAGGGGGGACGGAGAAGGCUAUGUUGGCCGGGCGACGGUUGUCCCGGUUUAAGCGUGUAGGUGUGUGUUCCAGGUAAAUCCGGUUCACUUUAACACUGAGGCGUGACGACGAGGCACUACGGUGCUGAAGCAACAAAUGCCCUGCUUCCAGGAAAAGCCUCUAAGCAUCAGGUAACAUCAAAUCGUACCCCAAACCGACACAGGUGGUCAGGUAGAGAAUACCAAGGCGCUUGAGAGAACUCGGGUGAAGGAACUAGGCAAAAUGGUGCCGUAACUUCGGGAGAAGGCACGCUGACACGUAGGUGAAGUGAUUUACUCAUGGAGCUGAAGUCAGUCGAAGAUACCAGCUGGCUGCAACUGUUUAUUAAAAACACAGCACUGUGCAAACACGAAAGUGGACGUAUACGGUGUGACGCCUGCCCGGUGCCGGAAGGUUAAUUGAUGGGGUCAGCGCAAGCGAAGCUCCUGAUCGAAGCCCCGGUAAACGGCGGCCGUAACUAUAACGGUCCUAAGGUAGCGAAAUUCCUUGUCGGGUAAGUUCCGACCUGCACGAAUGGCGUAAUGAUGGCCAGGCUGUCUCCACCCGAGACUCAGUGAAAUUGAACUCGCUGUGAAGAUGCAGUGUACCCGCGGCAAGACGGAAAGACCCCGUGAACCUUUACUAUAGCUUGACACUGAACAUUGAGCCUUGAUGUGUAGGAUAGGUGGGAGGCUUUGAAGUGUGGACGCCAGUCUGCAUGGAGCCGACCUUGAAAUACCACCCUUUAAUGUUUGAUGUUCUAACGUGGACCCGUAAUCCGGGUUGCGGACAGUGUCUGGUGGGUAGUUUGACUGGGGCGGUCUCCUCCUAAAGAGUAACGGAGGAGCACGAAGGUUGGCUAAUCCUGGUCGGACAUCAGGAGGUUAGUGCAAUGGCAUAAGCCAGCUUGACUGCGAGCGUGACGGCGCGAGCAGGUGCGAAAG
rnacentral:rRNA from 1 species